UACAGAGGGUGCGAGCGUUGUCCGGAAUUAUUGGGCGUAAAGAGCUCGUAGGCGGUUUGUUGCGUCGGCCGUGAAAACUUGGGGCUUAACUCCAAGCCUGCGGUCGAUACGGGCAGACUUGAGUUCGGCAGGGGAGACUGGAAUUCCUGGUGUAGCGGUGAAAUGCGCAGAUAUCAGGAGGAACACCGGUGGCGAAGGCGGGUCUCUGGGCCGAUACUGACGCUGAGGAGCGAAAGCGUGGGGAGCGAACAGG
rnacentral:rRNA from 1 species